UACGUAGGGGGCAAGCGUUGUCCGGAAUCAUUGGGCGUAAAGAGCGUGUAGGCGGUCCGGUAAGUCGGCUGUGAAAGUCCAGGGCUCAACCCUGGGAUGCCGGUGGAUACUGUCGGGCUAGAGUGCGGAAGAGGCGAGUGGAAUUCCUGGUGUAGCGGUGAAAUGCGCAGAUAUCAGGAGGAACACCUAUUGCGAAGGCAGCUCGCUGGGACGUUACUGACGCUGAGACGCGAAAGCGUGGGGAGCAAACAGG
rnacentral:rRNA from 1 species